AGUGAACGCUGGCGGUAGGCCUAACACAUGCAAGUCGAACGGCAACACAGUGAGAGCUUGCGCUUACGGGGGGCGAGUGGGGGACGGGAGAGGUAUAUAACGGAAUCUACUUUUUGGUGGGGGUUCACGUAGGGGGACUUACGCUAAUACCGCAUACGACCUACGGGUGAAAGCAGGGGAUCGUCGGACCUUGCGCGGAUGAAUGCGCCGAUGUGGGAUUAGCUAGUUGGCGGGGUAAAGGCCCAGCAAGGCGACGAUCCGUAGCUGGUCUGAGUGAAUGAUCGCCCACACUGGAGCUGAGACACGGACCAGACUCCUACGGGAGGCAGCAGUGGGGAAUAUGGGACAACAGGCGCAAGUCUGGUACAGCGAUACCGAGUGUGUGGAGGAGGCGUUGGGGUUGUAAAGACCUUUUGUUGGGAGAGAAACGCAGCAGGUUAAUACGCCGCGGGUCUGACGGUACCCAAAGAAUAAGCACCGGCUAACUUCGUG
rnacentral:rRNA from 1 species